rnacentral:rRNA from 1 species
ACGACGCUGGCGGCGUGCCUAACACAUGCAAGUCGAACGGGGUGGCCCUUCGGGGACUGACUUAGUGGCGGACGGGUGAGUAACGCGUGGGGUAACCUGCCGUAUGCUGGGGGACAACAGUUAGAAAUGACUGCUAAUACCGCAUAAGCGCACAGUAUCGCAUGAUACAGUGUGAAAAACUCCGGUGGCAUACGAUGGACCCGCGUCUGAUUAGCUGGUUGGUGAGGUAACGGCUCACCAAGGCGACGAUCAGUAGCCGGCCUGAGAGGGUNAACGGCCACAUUGGGACUGAGACACGGCCCAAACUCCUACGGGAGGCAGCAGUGGGGAAUAUUGCACAAUGGGGGAAACCCUGAUGCAGCGACGCCGCGUGAGUGAAGAAGUAUUUCGGUAUGUAAAAGCUCUAUCAGCAGGGAAGAAAAUGACGGUACCUGACUAAGAAGCCCCGGCUAACUACGUG